rnacentral:rRNA from 1 species
GACGAACGCUGGCGGCGUGCUUAACACAUGCAAGUCGAGCGAUGAGAUCACUUCGGUGAAGGAUUAGCGGCGAACGGGUGAGGAACACGUGAAGAAUCUGCCUUCAACUCUGGGAUAACUCCGGGAAACCGGGGCUAAUACCGGAUAUGAGCCUUGAUCGCAUGAUCGGGGCUGGAAAGUUUUUCGGUUGAAGAUGACUUCGCGGCCUAUCAGCUUGUUGGUGAGGUAAUGGCUCACCAAGGCGACGACGGGUAGCCGGCCUGAGAGGGCGACCGGCCACACUGGGACUGAGACACGGCCCAGACUCCUACGGGAGGCAGCAGUGGGGAAUAUUGGGCAAUGGACGAAAGUCUGACCCAGCGACGCCGCGUGCGGGAUGAAGGCCUUCGGGUUGUAAACCGCUUUCAGCAGGGAAUAAGCGCAAGUGAAGGUACCUGCAGAAGAAGCACCGGCUAACUAUGUGCCAGCCGCCGCCGUAA